rnacentral:rRNA from 1 species
AACGAACGCUGGCGGCAUGCCUAACACAUGCAAGUCGAACGAGACCUUCGGGUCUAGUGGCGCACGGGUGCGUAACGCGUGGGAACCUGCCCUUAGGUUCGGAAUAACUCCCCGAAAGGGGUGCUAAUACCGGAUAAUGUCUUCGGACCAAAGAAUUAUCGCCUUUGGAUGGGCCCGCGUUGGAUUAGCUAGUUGGUAGGGUAAAAGCCUACCAAGGCGACGAUCCAUAGCUGGUCUGAGAGGAUGAUCAGCCACACUGGGACUGAGACACGGCCCAGACUCCUACGGGAGGCAGCAGUGGGGAAUAUUGGACAAUGGGCGAAAGCCUGAUCCAGCAAUGCCGCGUGAGUGAUGAAGGCCUUAGGGUUGUAAAGCUCUUUUACCCGGGAUGAUAAUGACAGUACCGGGAGAAUAAGCUCCGGCUAACUCCGUG